rnacentral:rRNA from 1 species
GUCAAGUCAUCAUGGCCCUUACGCCCAGGGCUACACACGUGCUACAAUGGCGCUUACAAAGUGUUGCGAGCAGGUGACUGUGAGCCAAUCACAAAAAGAGCGUCUCAGUUCGGAUUGCAGGCUGCAACUCGCCUGCAUGAAGGCGGAGUCGCUAGUAAUCGCAGAUCAGCAACGCUGCGGUGAAUACGUUCCCGGGCCUU